AUUGAACGCUGGCGGUAGGCUUAACACAUGCAAGUCGAACGAGUGGCGGACGGGUGAGUAAUGCUUGGGAAUCUAGCUUAUGGAGGGGGAUAACUACGGGAAACUGUAGCUAAUACCGCGUACCAUAGGAUGAGCCCAUGUCGGAUUAGGUAGUUGGUGGGGUAAAGGCCCACCAAGCCGACGAUCUCUAGCUGGUCUGAGAGGAUGACCAGCCACACUGGAACUGAGACACGGCCCAGACUCCUACGGGAGGCAGCAGUGGGGAAUAUGGCGCAAUGGGGGCAACCCUGACGCAGCCAUGCCGCGUGUGUGAAGAAGGCCUUCGGGUUGUAAAGCACUUUUAGUGGGGAGGCGUUACCCAAAGAAUAAGCACCGGCUAACUCCGUGCCAGCAGCCGCGGUAAUUC
rnacentral:rRNA from 1 species